rnacentral:rRNA from 1 species
UAAGGGCGCACGGUGGAUGCCUUGGCACUAGAAGCCGAUGAAGGACGUUACUAACGACGAUAUGCUUUGGGGAGCUGUAAGUAAGCUUUGAUCCAGAGAUUUCCGAAUGGGGAAACCCAGCAUGAGUUAUGUCAUGUUAUCGAUAUGUGAAUACAUAGCAUAUCAGAAGGCACACCCGGAGAACUGAAACAUCUUAGUACCCGGAGGAAGAGAAAGAAAAUUCGAUUCCCUUAGUAGCGGCGAGCGAAACGGGAAGAGCCCAAACCAACAAGCUUGCUUGUUGGGGUUGUAGGACACUCUAUACGGAGUUACAAAGGACGACAUUAGACGAAUCAUCUGGAAAGAUGAAUCAAAGAAGGUAAUAAUCCUGUAGUCGAAAAUGUUGUCUCUCUUGAGUGGAUCCUGAGUACGACGGAGCACGUGAAAUUCCGUCGGAAUCUGGGAGGACCAUCUCCUAAGGCUAAAUACUCUCUAGUGACCGAUAGUGAACCAGUACCGUGAGGGAAAGGUGAAAAGCACCCCGGAAGGGGAGUGAAAUAGAACCUGAAACCGUGUGCUUACAAGUAGUCAGAGCCCGUUAAUGGGUGAUGGCGUGCCUUUUGUAGAAUGAACCGGCGAGUUACGAUUUGAUGCAAGGUUAAGCAGUAAAUGUGGAGCCGUAGCGAAAGCGAGUCUGAAUAGGGCGUUUAGUAUUUGGUCGUAGACCCGAAACCAGGUGAUCUACCCUUGGUCAGGUUGAAGUUCAGGUAACACUGAAUGGAGGACCGAACCGACUUACGUUGAAAAGUGAGCGGAUGAACUGAGGGUAGCGGAGAAAUUCCAAUCGAACCUGGAGAUAGCUGGUUCUCUCCGAAAUAGCUUUAGGGCUAGCCUCAAGUGAUGAUUAUUGGAGGUAGAGCACUGUUUGGACGAGGGGCCCCUCUCGGGUUACCGAAUUCAGACAAACUCCGAAUGCCAAUUAAUUUAACUUGGGAGUCAGAACAUGGGUGAUAAGGUCCGUGUUCGAAAGGGAAACAGCCCAGACCACCAGCUAAGGUCCCAAAAUAUAUGUUAAGUGGAAAAGGAUGUGGCGUUGCCCAGACAACUAGGAUGUUGGCUUAGAAGCAGCCAUCAUUUAAAGAGUGCGUAAUAGCUCACUAGUCGAGUGACACUGCGCCGAAAAUGUACCGGGGCUAAACAUAUUACCGAAGCUGUGGAUUGUCCUUUGGACAAUGGUAGGAGAGCGUUCUAAGGGCGUUGAAGCAUGAUCGUAAGGACAUGUGGAGCGCUUAGAAGUGAGAAUGCCGGUGUGAGUAGCGAAAGACGGGUGAGAAUCCCGUCCACCGAUUGACUAAGGUUUCCAGAGGAAGGCUCGUCCGCUCUGGGUUAGUCGGGUCCUAAGCUGAGGCCGACAGGCGUAGGCGAUGGAUAACAGGUUGAUAUUCCUGUACCACCUAUAAUCGUUUUA